GCCGCCAAGUCGAGCCGCUUGAAAACCCUACUCGAGCCGACGUUACGCACACGUUCGAGCUGAGGCGAGUUUGCGUGCACGUGCGAGCCAAAUACACGCGAGUCUUCUGGGCAUA